UACGGAGGGUGCGAGCGUUUGUCCGGAAUCACUGGGCGUAAAGGGCGCGUAGGCGGCCUGAUAAGUAGGGGGUGAAAUCCUGCGGCUUAACCGCAGGGCUGCCUUCUAAACUGUCAGGCUAGAGCACAGUAGAGGCAGGUGGAAUUCCCGGUGUAGCGGUGGAAUGCGUAGAGAUCGGGGAAGAACAUCAGUGGCGAAAAGCGGCACCCCUGGCAUUAGCCUGACGCUCAUGUGCGAAAGCGUGGGGGAGCGGAACGGGG
rnacentral:rRNA from 1 species